CUCCCCUACACCCACCUGUGUGUCCAUGAAGAGUGAUGAGUCCAUGUGGCGACCAAUCAACAUUACAGGAGGAGACUCUUCAACUGGACAGAUGGGGGAAUCUAGCUCUAACAGGAGGUCAAACUCCCCUACACCCACCUGUGUGUCCAUGAAGAGUGAUGAGUCCAUGUGGCGACCAAUCAACAUUACAGGAGGAGACUCUUCUACUGGACAGUCAGACUCACCCGUCUCUGCCAGUGAGUUCAAGGUGCCUCCAUCAGACAUCAGAAGACAAGGAGACUCUUCUGCUGGACAUUGCCAACUCGGUCAAAUAAAUGUACAAAUGCAUCAGAUCCACAAGUCUCAUCUGCAGAAA
ensembl:lncRNA